rnacentral:rRNA from 1 species
UACAGAGGUCUCAAGCGUUGUUCGGAUUCAUUGGGCGUAAAGGGUGCGCAGGUGGCGAGGCAAGUCGGAUGUGAAAUCCCGGGGCUCAACCCCGGAACUGCAUUCGAUACUGCCUUGCUAGAGUGCUGGAGAGGAGAGUGGAAUUUACGGUGUAGCAGUGAAAUGCGUAGAUAUCGGAAGGAACACCUGUGGCGAAAGCGGCUCACUGGACCACUACUGACGCUGAGGCACGAAAGCUAGGGGAGCAAACAGG